rnacentral:lncRNA from 1 species
UUUGAACACACAAAAAGAUAGUCGUCACUCUUCUCAACCAGAUUGACCGCCCACCACCAUAGUUCCGGCGAUCACACAUGUAGCAUUUCACUACCAAACCAACAAUCACCUCGAGCCAGUCAACUUCCCCAAAAGACCAAAAAUCAGUCGCCCCCAUCCAUCAUCUUCCCUUUCUCCAAAUUGAAUAAAAACACACAUAGAGCAACAUUUCCUCUCCCUAUUCCCUCCAUUUGACAACCAAAACAGUCACACCACCUAACAUAAGAGGAAGGGAAAAAAAAGUUGGACAUAAUGUUUGGAUAAGAACUAGGGACGGAAAAUUUCAGUUCUUCUUCGUUUCAAUUUGGAAUUCAAAUUCGAAAUACGAAUACAAAAAUAAUUUCAAUUUUUGCUUCAAUUUUCCUUCAUGGACUUUGUCUGAAGUUUGGUUCUGGGUUCGUCGCCGAUUUCAGCUGAGGCGCCGAGUCAACGGUGGCUCAUAAUUCCGUUCGAGUUUGAUCGCAGUUUGGGAUUUUGCUUGUAGCUGCGCUGUCCUGUCUGUUGCAAUCUGUUGAAAAUUUUCAUCAAUUGAAAUAUUUAUUUAAGGUCCAUAAUCUUUUCCUUCUCUUAUUAUACCUCUAGUUAUGAGUGAUUUCAAAAUAUGAUGUCGGAUCAUUACUUUUAGUCUUACUAUCUUUGCUGAAACACCAGCAGAGGUGUUGGAUUAAUUUUUAGUUAAGUUUAGUCCGAUCAUUUUCUUAAUCCUGUUCCAUCAAUUUUUUUAUUUACUCUUGGUCUCUUGUUUGAGAUUCCAGAAAACGUUUUGGCAAGUUUGAACCAUUCAUUUUCAUUAUGAAAUAUCUUUUUUAAGAGUAUUUUUAUCCAAUGAGCCAACAUCAUAUUUUUGAUCUACUUAUCAAUUAUGCUACACUGUUAUUGUUCUUUAUCUUAGUGUGCUUUAGAUGUUUCUGUCUAGUUGUUUGUUUUGUGUGGAUGGUUUAAAAAAUUGUUGUGAAUGAUAUUGGGUCGUAGGAAUAGGAACGAGACAAAAUAAUUAAUUGUUUACAUGCUUUAGUUUUUUCUAAAAACUAUUUUACUUUGUCAUAUUAUUCGUUAGGAGCAUGUUUAGGCCGGUAAUACUUGGGUAAGUAAGCUUUAGGAUUUUUGUUAGUUUUGAGCGAGAGGUCGUUCCUUAGUUAAAUUUAUCCGGGGAAUGCCCCGAGGGAUUUGUAUAUAUUUUAUUUCAGGGUAUGCCCCAAAGUGAAUGUAAAUGGAGCCAAAAGUAGAACCUUGUGGUAUUUUAUUUUAUUUUUAUUUUUCUAUUUUUUAUUAGGUAGGGACGAUCUCGAGUCUCUUGUGUGUUUAAUUUUCUUUUCUGUGUUUAUUGUUACCUCAAUUUGAAUAUUUUAAAAGCCCACUAGAUCGAGUACGCAACCGUGACUUUCACGGGACUUGGGGAGUGCCUAACACCUUCUCCCCGAGUCAAAUGAACCUCCUUACCUGAAAUCUCUGGUGCAUGUAUGGUUUUAGAGUCUAAAGUAUUUUAAAAGGAUAAAUAUCUUUUAAAAUGGUGACCUGGCACACCAAAAAUAAUUUUGUCACGUUCCCAAUGAAAAAACCCUUUCAAGCUUUACUAAAUCUUUUUAUUUAUUUAAAUGGGCUUAGUGGAGUUUGUUUAAAAAAGGGGCGUGACAGCUGAUACAACAGACUUAUCUCUAGAAAUGGCUUAGCGCCUUCGGGAUCAGGAGGAAGAAGAAGAUGAUGACUGCCUGCUGGUGACCCACAAAAGAAAAAAUGUUGAUUAUUUGAAGCCAAUCGAGCCGGUGGCAGCGGAUGUGGGUCAUUACAGAGCCGAAGAAAUCUCCGAAGGGGGUUCAAACAAAGUCCCCAAACUACCAUCCAGAAAAGAAGGCACCUCACCUAGGAGAACAUUUGGAGGGCAAGGUCAAACGACCUAAUCCCGAAACUCUGCAAGUAAAAGAGAAUGCUCCGAGUAGAUCACUUGGGGUAAUCAAUGUGGAUGAUUCACCUCCUGGCCCCAAAUUCUCCGAGGGACAAAUUCGAGAUGCACAGAAUAUGAGGUCUUCUGAAGUGGAAGCAAGCCAUGAAGGGCAUGACAUCUUUCGAGAAUGUUUCGUAGGGCUUGAAGAUGGCCCUGACCCCGAUGCUUCUUUCAUUUUUUGAUGAGGCUCGUAGACUUUUUAAACAAGUGAGUUUUCUAUUUCUUACGCCUACACCUUUGUUUUAGUUGUUGAAUAUAUCUUUCCUCCUUUUUUUCAUGAAGGCUGUAGUGAUCCAUAAAAGGGCAUUUUUCAAGUCUCGAGCUGAUCUUCAGGCUGAACUUAAGAAGGCUUUGGAGGAGAGGGACGUCGUUAAAGCCCUCUAUUCUAAGAAAGAGUUGGGGAUCUAUGAUCUACAAGUUGAGUUGAUGCAGGCAUCCCAAGAUCAGGCCGAGUAUGUUGAGAAG